rnacentral:lncRNA from 1 species
CUAGAACGUCCUAUUAACCUUUGACCUUGACCUCAAUUUCAAGGUCACCAACCAAGGACCUCAAACAAAAAGACCCUAGGUCUGUAAUAUGUAUGGUUAAUGAGUUAUAUCACUAUAGGCAUGAUUUUAAAUAUAAGAUGGGCGAAAACUCUCAUUUAUUGUUUACGCACCCUUCCAACCAAAAUUUAUAAGUUACAACAUGUCGCAACUCACAAUUUAGUAAAAAGAAUUUGUCGAUAUCUUUCACGGUUGUUGAAAAUAAGAGAAAAUAAGCCUAAAUCAAAAUUUAGAAUAUGACCUUGACCUUUGACCUUGACCUUAUUUUCAUUUUUUUGGACCAAGGACCUCAAAUCUAAAGACCCUAGGCCUAUAUCACUGAUGGUUUACCAGUAAGAAACACAUAUCACUUAUAUCAAAUGCAUUAGGGGAAAUAACUCUCAUAUGGAGUCUCCGGAUAGCUUCGGUCCAAAUGAAUAUUCUAAUCCUGAAGACGUAACGAGCAAUUUGGUAAAAUAAAUUUGUCGUAAUCUUUUACGGUUGCGAAGGAGUAGUGGCCACAAGAAUAACAGUGUUUGGGGAGAUAACUCUUACAACGUAAAGUAUUUUGUUACGCAGUUGUAAAUUUUUAAAGCGUAUAAACUAUACGACAUCAUAUUCCAAAUAUCUAAGCGACAUCUUUUGAAAUAUCAAUACUACGCAAGAAAAAAAAUUUAGGCGGAAGAAAAAAAAAAAAAAAAAUAAUAAUAAUAAUAAUAAUAAUAAUAAUCAGAACAAAUUCAAUAGGUCUUUCCACGGAAAGGUGGAAAGACCUAAUAAUAAUAAUAAUAAUAAUCAGAACAAAUACAAUAGGUCUUUCAACAGAAAGGUUGAAAGACCUAAUAA